GACGAACGCUGGCGGCGUGCUUAACACAUGCAAGUCGAACGGAAAGGCCCUGCUUUUGUGGGGUGCUCGAGUGGCGACCGGGUGAGUUACCCGUGAGUAACCUGCCCUUGACUUUGGGAUAACUUCAGAAAGCUGGGGCUCAUACCGGAUAGGAGCUCCUGCUGCAUGGUGGGGGUGGGAAAGUUUCGGUGGUUGGGGAUGGACUCGCGGCUUAUCAGCUUGUUGGUGGGGUAGUGGCUUACCAAGGCUUUGACGGGUAGCCGGCCUGAGAGGGUGACCGGCCACAUUAGGACUGAGCUACGGCCCAGCCUCCUACGGGAGGCAGCGGUGGAGAAUAUUGCACAAUGGGCGGAAGCCUGAUGCAGCAACGCCGCGUGCGGGAUGACGGCCUUCGGGUUGUAAACCGCUUUCGCCUGUGACGAAGCGUGAGUGACGGUAAUGGGUAAAGAAGCACCGGCUAACUACGUG
rnacentral:rRNA from 1 species